rnacentral:rRNA from 1 species
UACGGGGGGAGCAAGCGUUGUUCGGAUUUACUGGGCGUAAAGGGCGCGUAGGCGGCCUGUGCAAGUCAGUUGUGAAAUCUCCGAGCUUAACUCGGAACGGUCAACUGAUACUGCUCGGCUAGAGUGCGGAAGGGGCAACUGGAAUUCUUGGUGUAGCGGUGAAAUGCGUAGAUAUCUGGAGGAACACCGGUGGCGAAGGCGGCGUCCUGGGCAGUAGCUGACACUGAGGCGCGACAGCGUGGGGAGCAAACAGG